rnacentral:rRNA from 1 species
UACGUAGGGUGCAAGCGUUAAUCGGAAUUACUGGGCGUAAAGCGUGCGCAGGCGGUUUUGUAAGUCUGUCGUGAAAUCCCCGGGCUUAACCUGGGAAUGGCGAUGGAGACUGCAAGGCUAGAGUUUGGCAGAGGGGGGUAGAAUUCCACGUGUAGCAGUGAAAUGCGUAGAGAUGUGGAGGAACACCGAUGGCGAAGGCAGCCCCCUGGGUUAACACUGACGCUCAUGCACGAAAGCGUGGGGAGCAAACAGG